rnacentral:rRNA from 1 species
GACGAACGCUGGCGGCGUGCCUAAUACAUGCAAGUAGAACGCUGAAGGAGGAGCUUGCUUCUCUGGAUGAGUUGCGAACGGGUGAGUAACGCGUAGGUAACCUGCCUGGUAGCGGGGGAUAACUAUUGGAAACGAUAGCUAAUACCGCAUAACAGUAGAUAUCGCAUGAUAUCUACUUGAACGGUGCAAUUGCAUCACUACCAGAUGGCCCUGCGUUGUAUUAGCUAGUUGGUGAGGUAACCGCUCACCAAGGCGACGAUACAUAGCCGACCUGAGAGGGGGGUCGGCCACACUGGGACGUAGACACGGCCCAGACUGCUACGGGAGGCAGCCGGAGGGGAACUUCGGCAAUGGGCGGAAGUCUGGCCGAGCAACGCCGCGGGAGGGAAGAAGGGUUUCGGAGCGGAAAGCUCUGUUGUAAGGGAAGAACGAGUGUGAGAGUAGAAAGUUCACGCUGUGACGGUAUCUAACCAGAAAGGGACGGCUAACUACGUG